rnacentral:rRNA from 1 species
UACGUAGGGUGCGAGCGUUGUCCGGAAUUAUUGGGCGUAAAGAGCUCGUAGGCGGUGUGUCGCGUCGGCCGUGAAAACCUGGGGCUCAACUCUGGGCGUGCGGUCGAUACGGGCAUCACUUGAGUUCGGCAGGGGAGACUGGAAUUCCUGGUGUAGCGGUGAAAUGCGCAGAUAUCAGGAGGAAUACCGGUGGCGAAGGCGGCAUCCUGGACCGGCAUUGACGCUGAGUGAGCGAAAGCCAGGGGAGCAAACGGG